rnacentral:rRNA from 1 species
UACGUAGGGGGCAAGCGUUGUCCGGAUUUAUUGGGCGUAAAGAGCGUGUAGGCGGCUUUACAGGGCCGUUGUGAAAACUCGAGGCUCAACCUCGAGACGCCGGUGGAAACCGUAAAGCUAGAGUCCGGAAGAGGAGAGUGGAAUUCCUGGUGUAGCGGUGAAAUGCGCAGAUAUCAGGAAGAACACCCGUGGCGAAGGCGGCUCUCUGGGACGGUACUGACGCUGAGACGCGAAAGCGUGGGGAGCGAACAGG